AUUCAAAACAUCUGGGGCUGCUCGGUGGCUCAUGCCUGUAAUCCCAGCAGUUUGGGAGGUCAACAUGGGUGAAUCACUUGAGGUCAGAAGUUUGGGACCAGCCCAGCCAAUGUGGCCCUGAUCAGGAAGUGAAGACAACAUGACUGUGGAGAAGAGAGCCGGGAAGGGAAGAUGGUCAAUAAUGAGUGCAUUCUAGGCCAGCUUCCCCAGAGCAUCAAGGUUGAUGGAAGAACAUGAGGGGAAGUGGCAUGAGAGCAAGCCCGUGCUCUCCUCUACAGAGACAGAAGCCAGACAUGCCUUUUCCAUGUGCUGAUCUCCAAGUCCCAGCUAGUAGGUCACAUGACAUCACAGUCCUGCUCUUCCUCAAUGGGACUAAGGGCUGAGGGAUCAGUGAGUGCAGAGGUGCCAGCCCAUUUCCACUCCUCCUUAGCGCCAGAAAACCCUGACUAUGACAGCCAUCCCUGAGCCUGCUGGCCAGCUCCCUAGCGGGACAACAUUGAAAGGGAAACGGUGAAUUCGCUUGUUGUAAGUUUGAAGACUCAACAUGAAACUCACAAAACGCAGCCACAGCAGUGGUUUCAUUAUCAAAACUCCAGCAAGCAUUCCAGCCAGACUAAUUCCCCACUGGAUUCACUUAAUGUAGAUCCUCACAAACGAUUACAUGUAAACGUGAGAGGCACCCAGUUUGGAUUCCAGACCAGAAGAAAUCCAGGAAUGGAUUUAAAAAGGAAAGCUGGUUCCCAUCUCCCUGGAGAAUUUAUCUUUAUUAAAGAUGCAAAGGAUCCAGUGAAGGUCUCUGAGGCCCUGGGAGAUGGUAGAGCCACACCAUGAAGGUGCCUGGGUCCCUGAAUGACUGCAUGGAGCUCACUCUACAUUGGACUGUGACACAAGCAAGAAAGGUAGACACUUAGAAGUGGAAUUGCUGAGUCAUACAGUAAUUCUAUGUUUAACAUUUUGAGGAACUGCCAAACUGUUUCCAAAAUGGCUGCAACAUUCUACAUUUCCAUCAGCAAG